CCCAAACUCACGUGAAUUUCAAAACCCUCAAGAACUCCAUUAUCUCCCCACGCCGUUGUCCUCGUUGUUGCCCAGCCACCGGACCACCACCGCUCCCGCCGGUAAGCCGUGUUCUCUCCUUCGUCCUCUUCCUCUUCAUCGAGUUCCUGCUACCUUGCUCCUCUUUUCUCAUAGUCUCGUCGUUCUCGCUUCCCCUCUGCCGUGUCGGUUUCGCACGCAGCAGCAGCAGUCACAAGCACCCUCGCCGCCGUCCACCACCUCGCCGCAGCCCCGCCGUCUAGCACGUUAACAUCCCCUUCUCCUUAUCCUCCCUUUUUCUUUUAUUUUCGUUCCUUUUAUUGCUUGUUCUCUUCGAUUUUCGUGGCUGACCACCACCUAUUCGCGCAGCAACCACCGCACGCAACCGCCGUGCUCAGCCCUCGCCGCGAGCCACCACCUGUUCGCCGGCCAGCCUCCUCUCUCCUCUUCAAUUCUUGGCGGAGAAUUCUUUGUAGGCGAUUUUUGAAUUCGUUAAAGUGGCCUAUCAGUUUGUUUACACAAGUCUCUAAGAAUCAAUAAGCAUUGUCCAUCUGCAGGUUUGAAGAUGUUGCAUCAUUGGGAUCAGGAAUAGAGAGCUUGUAUUUAGUUUUGAUUUACUAAGUUGACUUGGGUUUGUUAAUUGGGACUUUAAACUUGUCGUACUAUUUAUAUUUCCUUAUUUUCGUUGGAUGAUUUUUUGGGACUAAACCUGUAAUCGAUUAUUUAUAAACCUAAAGUUAGUUUUAUGUUUUCCGCU